ACUCAAAUGAAUUGACGGGGGCUCACACAAGCGGUGGAGCAUGUGGCUUAAUUCGAGGCUACGCGAAGAACCUUAUCCUGGGCUUGACAUGUGCGAAAGCGGCAGGGAGUAGGCGCCUGAAAGGGUUGCCCAACGGUAUCCAGUCCGGAACCUGCUACAGGUGCUGCAUGGCUGUCGUCAGCUCGUGUCGUGAGAUGUCGGGUUAAGUCCCAUAACGAGCGAAACCCUUGUCCCCAGUUGCUACCCGCAAGGGAGGACUCUGGGGAGACUGCCGGUGUUAAACCGGAGGAAGGUGGGGAUGACGUCAAGUCCUCAUGGCCUUUAUGCCCAGGGCUGCACACGUGCUACAAUGGCGCGAACAAAGGGAUGCAAACUUGCAAAAGGGAGCCAAUCCCAAAAAACGCGCCCCAGUUCAGAUCGAAGGCUGCAACUCGCCUUCGUGAAGUUGGAAUCGCUAGUAAUCGCGGGUCAGCAACACCGCGGUGAAUGUGUUCCUGAGCCUUGCACACACCGCCCGU
rnacentral:rRNA from 1 species